rnacentral:hammerhead_ribozyme from 1 species
AUCCAGCUGACGAGUCCCAAAUAGGACGAAACGCUAGUCCUGGAU